CCUAGGGGGCCGGGACGGCAAGAUGGCGGCGCGAGCGGCGCUUGGGUCCAUGUGCCGGCGUCUCUGGCAGGUAUCUGGCGGGUGGGCGUACUAAGCUAGCUGACAGGGCAGGAGCCGUAAAGUCUUGUUGCCGCUUGUCGUUCUGGCCAUCUGGAGUUUCCCCCGGUAUUUAUUCCGCCCCUUGGCGCAUUGUUUGCCGGAAGGUGGCGGGAAAGGGACUGGUUUUAUUUCGAAUCCUCUCAUGGGAUAAAACGUAAGAAUCAGGGCAAACACGGGAACAAGAAGAAUCGUAGGAUGUCAGAGCUGGAAAGAAUGUUGAACAGCGUAUGUCCCGCACCACUCUUUUCAGGGUUCAAGGAGUUUUUCUGUAAACAGUUCUAAGAGCAGUACAGCCAGAAAUGGUGGCUUUCUCCUCAGUACCAGUAUGAAGUGGGUGCAGUUUUCAAACCUACACGUUGAUAUUCCCAAGGAUUUGACCAAGCCCACGAUAACCAUUUCUGAGGAACCAGAUACAUUAUAUAAGCGCCUGUCAGUUUUAGUAAAAGGCCAUGAUAAAGCUGUACUGGACAGUUACGAAUAUUUUGCCGUGCUUGCUGCUAAAGAACUUGGUAUCUCUAUUAAAGUACAUGAGCCUCCAAGAAAAAUAGAGCGAUUUACUCUUCUCAAAUCAGUGCAUAUUUUCAAGAAGCACAGAGUUCAGUAUGAAAUGAGAACACUUUACAGAUGUUUAGAGUUAGAACAUCUGACUGGAAGUACAGCGGAUGUCUACUUGGAAUAUAUUCAGCGAAACUUACCUGAAGGAGUUGCCAUGGAAGUUAUAAAGACAAAAUUAGAACGGUUACCAGAACACAUCAAGGAGCCAAUCUGGGAAACAGUACCAGAGGAAAAAGCAGAAAGCAGGUCCUAAAGUCUCAGCCAGUCUACUGGCACCGGCGUUUGACCCAAGGGUGGCUCAAACACAUAUGUUGAAAUAGAGGCUUCCAGUGGGAACGACCGUGAGUGCACUUGACCACUCUGUUGAGCCCACGUGCCCUGAUGAGCUCAAAGCGGGGGUGAAACUUUAAUGACACACUGGACCACAGUGAAAACCACUUCACCUUACUCUUUUGUACACAUCAUUGUUUCAGUUCCGGUUUUAACAAAUGUGAGCAAGCCACUUUGACUACUGUGCACGAAAAGAAUCAGGUUUCUGUUUUGUCGUUCUGUUACAGUUCAGUUAUCAGUUUGCACUGAUUUUAACUUGUGUCACUUCAUUUGUCUGAAAGUGAAUGUUUGAAAUAACUCCUUACACACAUUUUUUCCUUUUCAACUACUUAGAAGGAACCUUCAGUUAAUUUGGUUAAUGUAACAAUGUAACGCCAGUUUUUGAUAAUUUACCUAGUGCAAGCUGGAAAAUCCUGGUGUGGAGGUGGUGACCUCCAAAUUUCACCUCAUUUAAGCGUGACAUUCUUGAAAAUGAAUGUACUGUGCAGCAGAUCACGUACACUUGUGGCACACACUGAACUCUUCUUGUCGCCCAAACCCUUGCCAGGCUGCCAAGAAGGAGCACUGUAGUGGAAUUUGAGUUCUCAAGAAAUGACUGUCUGCAUCACUUUUUUCAUCCCGUGAUUCAUUCAUUCAACAGGCUUUUAUUUUGUUAUCUCUGUAACCAGCACUGUAGUAAAUACCAAACGUUGAAUGGAAGUAUGGCUUUUGAAAAACAUGCAGGGCACAGAUAAAUAUUUUUCCUUAUUAAGUCCCACACUGAUAAGGCCUCUUUGUUUUGGUAAAUGGCAUUCUUUUUGUUUCGAGAUGGCUACUUUUCCAUGAAAUUAAAUCUUAGUUAAAACCCUGAGAGAGGCAGGACUACAAUGUGCUGAAACUGCUGGUGUAUCAUCCCCAAGGGAGUGAUUCGUUUCCUUUUUUACAGCAGAUCAGGUCCAUGUCUUUUGCGGUUUCCUUCACAUCUUUGGGGUAGUUAUGACUCCUCCGUUUUUCCUCCCUUAAACUUAAACUGGAGUCCCUGUUCUCUUUUCCCUGACCUACUAUCAGGUGUCAAUGUUUUGAAUGCAUACUGCUUAUGUAUCAGACUUCCAUUACUGUCAUUAACAUGAAAAGAAUUACAGCCUGUGCCCUGUGACCUCACUCAGCUCACAGCUCAGUUGUUGACUGUGUCAUUCACAAAUGCCUAAAGCAUGCUUAUCCCAGGUGUAAACCUCGGGAUUAAGAACUAGUCAAUAAAACGAGCAAUAUAAUAGAAGUAGAUCUUGCAAAGCAGCGAUCUGUGACCCGUUUUUACUUUAAAAGAAAAAGUUCCUUAAAUACAUAUCCACAUCUAAACUUUUUUACAGACAGUAUUAAUCACUGUAUCAUAAGAUGAUUUAUGCAAACUUGGCUUCCAUUGACUCUCCGUGUGAGUUCCUUUCAAGAUGUGCAGCUGUUUUCAGACUGAAUUAACCUGUAAACCAGAUUACUUGGCACUUCACGUUAUAUAUUAAAAUCUUGUUUUAAGGUAAAUAUACAAAUAAACUACACACACAAUAGAA